UCUGGACGUUAAGCGUGCAUUUCCUCUUCCCAUUCUUCACUGUUACUCUACAAUUCCCUCUCUCCUCUGCCUCUCCCUUUCAUUUCCUUUGUCUCUCAAACUUUUCGUUCUCUUCUUUCCAUUCCCCUCUCGAUCUUCACACGAUUCGGCUAAAAGGUAAAUUACGGAAGUGACUGUAAACAAGUACUUGGGGAUAAAA